AGGACGAACGCUGGCGGCGUGCUUAACACAUGCAAGUCGAACGAUGAAGCCCUUCGGGGUGGAUUAGUGGCGAACGGGUGAGUAACACGUGGGUAAUCUGCCCUGUACUUUGGGAUAAGCCCUGGAAACGGGGUCUAAUACCGGAUAUGACCGCGCAUCGCAUGGUGUGUGGUGGAAAGCUCCGGCGGUAUGGGAUGAACCCGCGGCCUAUCAGCUUGUUGGUGGGGUAAAAGCCUACCAAGGCGACGACGGGUAGCCGGCCUGAGAGGGCGACCGGCCACACUGGGACUGAGACACGGCCCAGACUCCUACGGGAGGCAGCAGUGGGGAAUAUUGCACAAUGGGCGCAAGCCUGAUGCAGCGACGCCGCGUGGGGGAUGACGGCCUUCGGGUUGUAAACCUCUUUCGACAGGGACGAAGGGUAACUGACGGUACCUGUAGAAGAAGCACCGGCUAACUACGUGCCAGCAGCCGCGGUAAUACGUAGGGUGCGAGCGUUGUCCGGAAUUAUUGGGCGUAAAGAGCUCGUAGGCGGUUUGUCGCGUCGGCCGUGAAAACUGGAGGCUUAACCUCCAGCUUGCGGUCGAUACGGGCAGACUUGAGUUCGGUAGGGGAGACUGGAAUUCCUGGUGUAGCGGUGAAAUGCGCAGAUAUCAGGAGGAACACCGGUGGCGAAGGCGGGUCUCUGGGCCGAUACUGACGCUGAGGAGCGAAAGCGUGCGGAGCGAACA
rnacentral:rRNA from 1 species